rnacentral:sRNA from 1 species
AUAUCUCUCCGUACGGGAAGGAUGAGAAGCUUCGACUAAGGUUCGAUUCGAGCGCAGCGAGAAAGCGUUGCCGCAGGCAACGACCCGAAGGGCGAAGCG